rnacentral:rRNA from 1 species
GUGGGGAAUAUUGCACAAUGGGCGCAAGCCUGAUGCAGCCAUGCCGCGUGUAUGAAGAAGGCCUUCGGGUUGUAAAGUACUUUCAGCGGGGAGGAAGGGAGUAAAGUUAAUACCUUUGCUCAUUGACGUUACCCGCAGAAGAAGCACCGGCUAACUCCGUGCCAGCAGCCGCGGUAAUACGGAGGGUGCAAGCGUUAAUCGGAAUUACUGGGCGUAAAGCGCACGCAGGCGGUUUGUUAAGUCAGAUGUGAAAUCCCCGGGCUCAACCUGGGAACUGCAUCUGAUACUGGCAAGCUUGAGUCUCGUAGAGGGGGGUAGAAUUCCAGGUGUAGCGGUGAAAUGCGUAGAGAUCUGGAGGAAUACCGGUGGCGAAGGCGGCCCCCUGGACGAAGACUGACGCUCAGGUGCGAAAGCGUGGGGAGCAA